rnacentral:rRNA from 1 species
UACAGAGGUGGCAAGCGUUGUUCGGAAUUACUGGGCGUAAAGGGCGCGUAGGUGGCCUUCUUAGUCAGACGUGAAAUCCCCAGGCUUAACCUGGGAACUGCGUCUGAUACUGGAAGGCUCGAGUUCGGGAGAGGAAUGUGGAAUUCCAGGUGUAGCGGUGAAAUGCGUAGAUAUCUGGAGGAACACCGGUGGCGAAGGCGGCAUUCUGGACCGAAACUGACGCUGAUGCACGAAAGUGUGGGGAUCAAAACAGG